UGGGUUUUGGUUUUUACUUUCUUAUUACCCGUAGUGAGGUCCGAAGUUUGCUUCCAAUUAGACCCUGGAGAAUAGACAUCUAUUGACACAAUAAAAGAACCUGUGGAUGGAGGCAUUUUCUCCUAAAAGUCUCGAAAGAAAUGAGUUCAUCAUUCUUUUUUUUAGUAGCUACAUCUUAAAAACAGCUUGACACCUGUUUCAAAUAAGUAUAAAACUGUCCCUGCCUCUCUUAAAGGAUUGUCAUUAUUUAUUGCCUUUAUCCAACAUCAUAACAAGGAGCAUGGCUGCCAAAAAUAAAAAAAUGCUCUUAGGCAAUUUAAAUAAAGUCAAUUGUGUUCAUAUGUUCAUAUGAAGCCAUUUAUUGUUGAUUAACCAGGCCACUUAGUGUCUAGCACAGAUGCUUUUGAAUAAGUCAAGUGACUGGGCCACACAGGCCUGGAUGUUCACCAGAGGACAUCUGGUUCAUUUACAUAUUUUAACUGAUUUAAAGGUACUGGGGUACUGAACAAGACUAGUGUGGCAUCAGCUUUCAUUUGCUUACAGUCUUGGAAAGGCAAAAGAAAUGGCUGUGCAAUGAGGCCCCCAGGAUAAACCUAAGAGAGUAGAGGAAAAGAUUUUCUUUCCCAACAGCCAUUAAAUGUUACAGCAAAAUAAUUUAAUUUUAGAGUCAGAGGAAAGGCCAUGUGUGGACAAAGAAGCUGUCCACAAGCCAGGAAGGUGCUUUCACCAGGAACCAAAUCUGCCAGCACUUUGAUCUUGGACUUCAGCCUCCAGAACUGUGAGAAAUAAAUUUCUGUUGUUUAAGUCAGAAUAAUACCAUAAAUAUGUGGCACUUAUUUAUUUAUAAAUGGUGUUUAUUAAACCAAUAAAGUGGUUUAAUACCACUGAAACCUGUGGUGUUUUAUUAAGGCAGCCUGAACAUACUAAUAGAGUAAUAAGACUAAUAGAGAGUAAGUGGGGAAGAAAACUAGCAUUUAUUUGUUGCCUAACAUUUGCUAAGUACUGGGCUAGGCAGUUCACAUUUGUGGUCAGCAGAAUAAUGACCCCCAUAGAUGUCCACAUCCUAGUCCCUAGAACUGUGAAUAUGUUAAAUUACAUGGCCAAGGGAAAUUAAGGUUGUUAAUCAGCUGACCUUAAAAAUGGGGAGAUUUUCCUAGAUUAUUUGGAUGAGCUCUAUAUAAUUAAAAGCAUCCUUCAAAGUGGAAGAAAGAGGCAGAAGAGAAUUUCAUCAUGAUGUGAUUUGAGGACUCAGGCAACUGCUACUGGCUUUGAAGAUGGAGGAAGGGGGUCU